rnacentral:rRNA from 1 species
UUUAAAGUCAGGCCUGCCCAAUGAUUAUUUGAAUGGCCGCAGUAUUUUGACUGUGCAAAGGUAGCAUAAUCAUUAGUUUUUUAAUUGAAAACUGGUAUGAAGGGUUCGAUGAAAAAUUGACUGUCUCUUUUAUAUUAUAAUAGAAUUUUAUUUUUUAGUAAAAAAGCUUAAAUUUUAUAUAAAGACGAGAAGACCCUAUAGAGUUUUACAUUAAAUUAUUUAUUUUUUUGGUUUUUUUAAUUUUAUUUUAAUGUUUGGUUGGGGUGACUUGAAAAUUUAAUUAACUUUUUAUUUUUUAUACAAUUAUUUUUGAUUUUUUGAUCCUUUAUUUGGAUUAUAAGUUUAAAUUACCUUAGGGAUAACAGCGUUAUUUUUUUUGAAAGUUCUUAUUGAUAAAAAAGUUUGCGACCUCGAUGUUGGAUUAAAAUUGGUAUUUGGUGUAGCAGCUUUUGUACUAGGUCUGUUCGACCUUUAAAAUUUUACA